AAUAAACCCAAAUAAUGUCCAUAGAGAUACACUGAUGAGAAUAACACCAGCCCAAACAUUCCUCCCCUGAAUCCUCUUGUCCAUACUGAUGUUUUUAGUGUUUCCUCUGUGGCUUAUUUAUUUAUUUUUUGUCUUUUUGCCAUUUCUUGGGCCACUCCCAUGGCAUAUGGAGAUUCCAAGGCUAGGGGUCCAAUCGGAGCUGUAGCCACUGGCCUACGCCAGAGCCACAGCAACACAGGAUCCGAGCUGUGCCUGCAACCUACACCACAGCUCACAGCAACACUGGAACAUUAACUCACUGAGCAAGGCCAGGGAUUGAACCUGCAACCUCAUGGUUCCAAAUCAGAUUCAUUAACCACUGAGCCACGAUGGGAACUCCAUGUGGCUUAUUUGUUUAAGUUCUGAGUUAGAGCAAUUUCCAAAGAGCUAUUGACUGAAUUCAUUCUGCUAUGCAUUCCCUAUAGGGAGUUAGAGUUGAUUUUCAACAAACACUCCCUUAUAAUUUUCACAUCAUUAAUGUUUCUUUCCUGUAAGAACACUCUGGUGUUCUCUAAAGUGUGUAUUUAGUAGAAACAUCCUUUAUCACAUAUUACACUGGCAAGAUUUCCCUCCAUUGCACAUUUUCUGAUGUUAAGACAGGUGAAAACUCUGAUGAAGGGCUUUGUCACAUUCUCCAAAUCUGUGAAGUUUUUCCCCAGUAUGUAUUUCCUGAUGUCUAUAAAGUGCUGAAGCUCUUUAUAGGAUCUGUCCUAUUUUUUAUACUUGUCAAGCUUCCUUGUACUAUGAACUCUCUGAUGUUGAUGAGAUAUGAGUGAUAGGUAAAGGCUUGGCCAGGAGUUCCCGUCAUGGCUCAGUGGUCAACAAAACUGACAAGGAAGCAUGAGGUUACACAUUUGAUCCCUGACCUCGCUCAGUGGGUUAAGGAUCCAGUGUUGCUGUGAGCUGCGUUGUAGGUUGCAGACUUGGCUAGGAUCCUACGUUGCUGUCCCUGUGGUGUAGGCUGGUGGAUACAGCUCUGAUUAGACCCCUAGCCUGGGAACCCCCAUAUGUCAGGUGUGGCCCUUAAAAAAAAAAAAAAAAAAAAAAGGCAAAAGGGUAAAGGCUUGGCCACAUUAAUUACAUCUGUAUGGUUUUUACCCAGUAUGGAUUCCCUGAUGUUGAAUCAAGCUUGCAUGCCACUUAAAAUUUUUGUCACAGUCUGUACAUUUUGUAAGGCUUCUCUCCAGUGUGAGGUCACCAGUGCUGAUAAAACCCUGACAGCUGACUAAAGGCUUUGUCACAUUCUGUACAUUUUUAAGAUUUCUCUCCAGAAUGAGAUCUCUGAUGCCGAGUAAGAGAUGAAUGCCAACGAAAGGCUUUGCCACAUUCUGUACAUAUGUAAGGCUUCUCUCCAGUAUGAAUUCUCUGAUGCCGUGUAAGUGAUGAAUGCUGAUUAAAGCCUUUGCCACAUUUUGUACAUUUGUACGGCUUCUCUCCAGUAUGAGAACGCAGAUGCUGAGUGAGAUGUGAAUGACAGUGGAAGGCUUUGCCACAUUCUGAACAUUUGUGAGAUUUCCCUCCAGUAUGAGAUCUCAGAUGUUGAGUAAGAGAUGAAUGCCAAUGAAAGGCUUUGCCACAUUCUGUACAUGUGUAUGGCUUCUCUCCAGUAUGAGAUCUCAGAUGCUCAGUAAGUUGAGAACACCAAUGAAAGGUUUUGCCACAUUCUGUACAUUUGUAUGGCUUCUCUCCAGUAUGAGAUCUCAGAUGCUCAGUAACAUGAGAUUGCCUAUUAAAGGCCUUGCCACAUUCUGUACAUUUGUAAGGCUUCUCUCCAGUAUGAGAUCUCAGAUGCUCAGUAAGAUGA
rnacentral:lncRNA from 1 species